CAGUAGCCACGGUAAUGCGUAGGGUGCAAGCGUUAAUCGGAAUUACUGGGCGUAAAGCGUGCGCAGGCGGUUCGCUAAGACAGAUGUGAAAUCCCCGGGCCUAACCUGGGAACUGCAUUUGUGACUGGCGGGCUAGAGUAUGGCAGAGGGGGGUAGAAUUCCACGUAUAGCAGUGAAAUGCGUAGAGAUGUGGAGGAAUACCGAUGGCGAAGGCAGCCCCCUGGGCCAAUACCGACGCUCAUGCACGAAAGCGUGGGGAGCAAACAGGAUUAGAGACCCCUGUAGUCCCUGUCUCUUAUAC
rnacentral:rRNA from 1 species